rnacentral:ncRNA from 2 species
CGGUGGUACGGUUCCGGCGACAACUCCAUGCACGUCCGUGUCCAGGGGAAGCCGGUCCGAAUCCGGCGCUGACCCGCAACCGUAGGCCGCCCUCGUGGCGGUGAGCCGGAACACCUGUCUCGGACGUCUGACUCUC